UCUGUUUGAUCCUGGCUCAGGAUGAACGCUAGCGGCAGGCCUAACACAUGCAAGUCGAGGGGUAACAGGGAGAAGCUUGCUUCUUUGCUGACGACCGGCGCACGGGUGCGGAACGCGUAUGGAACCUGCCCCUGUCAGGGGAAUAGCCCAGGGAAACUUGGAUUAAUGCCCCAUGGUAUCGUUUUAUCGCAUGAUAUUACGAUUAAAGAUUUAUCGGACAGGGAUGGCCAUGCGUACCAUUAGUUAGAUGGUGAGGUAACGGCUCACCAUGGCAGCGAUGGUUAGGGGCCCUGAGAGGGGGAUCCCCCACACUGGUACUGAGACACGGACCAGACUCCUACGGGAGGCAGCAGUGAGGAAUAUUGGACAAUGGGCGGGAGCCUGAUCCAGCCAUGCCGCGUGCAGGAUGACGGCCCUAUGGGUUGUAAACUGCUUUUAUACGGGAAGAAACGCACCUACGUGUAGGUGUCUGACGGUACCGUAAGAAUAAGGACCGGCUAACUCCGUGCCAGCAGCCGCGGUAAUACGGAGGGUCCGAGCGUUAUCCGGAAUCAUUGGGUUUAAAGGGUCCGUAGGCGGGCCUGUAAGUCAGGGGUGAAAGUUUGUGGCUCAACCAUAAAAUUGCCUUUGAUACUGCAGGUCUUGAGUCAUGGUGGGGUUGCCGGAACAUGUGGUGUAGCGGUGAAAUGCAUAGAUAUCACAUAGAACACCGAUCGCGAAGGCAGGUGACCAACCAUGUACUGACGCUGAUGGACGAAAGCGUGGGUAGCGAACGGGAUUAGAUACCCCGGUAGUCCACGCCGUAAACGAUGGAUACUAGCUGUGGGGACUUCGGUCUCCGUGGCCAAGCGAAAGUGAUAAGUAUCCCACCUGGGGAGUACGUUCGCAAGAAUGAAACUCAAAGGAAUUGACGGGGGCC
rnacentral:rRNA from 1 species